CUACGGGUUGCUCCUGUAACGAAUAUUGUGCAAUGGGCGAAAGCCUGACACAGCGACGCCGCGUGGAGGAUGACGCAUUUCGGUGUGUAAACUCCUUUUAUAUGUCAAGAAAAUGACGGUAGCAUAUGAAUAAGCACCGGCUAACUCCGUGCCAGCAGCCGCGGUAAUACGGAGGGUGCAAGCGUUACUCGGAAUCACUGGGCGUAAAGGACGCGUAGGCGGGUUGGAAAGUCAGGUGUGAAAUCCUACAGCUUAACUGUAGAACUGCACUUGAAACUUCUAAUCUAGAGUAUGGGAGGGGGAGAUGGAAUUAGUGGUGUAGGGGUAAAAUCCGUAGAUAUCACUAGGAAUACCUAAAGCGAAGGCGAUCCCCUGGAACAUUACUGACGCUAAGGCGUGAAAGCGUGGGGAGCAAACAGGAUUAGAUACCCGUGUAGUC
rnacentral:rRNA from 1 species